AUACUCGCCUGGUGCCGGGGCCUCGUUGAUCACCGAGGACGAGCCCCCAGGGCGAGUAGCGGGCGUUGCACUGCGCUCGCGUUGACUUUUGCAACUACUCCAAACUGGGAAGAUGGGGCAAGUUAAUUGCUUAAAUCCGGUCCAACGCAAGAGAGGGCGCCACCGCC
rnacentral:snRNA from 1 species